CCCACCUCGCUGCCGGCCCUCCCCUCCCCUCCUCCCACAUCACAGCUCGGGCGGCUACCGGAUCCGCCAUAUCCCCCACCCACCCAUCCCUCUCACAUCCCAUCUCCUCUCUUGACGUAGCUCCUCGUUGCGCCACCUCCGGCGGCUGUUUCAGGCGACAUCCGGCGAAUCCCGCCAUCAUGAAGCACAGCCUGAGGUCCCCUUACACAGCGGCACACUCCCAUGUGGCUUGAUCUGGCGCUCGCGGCCACCAAAGCUCACCCGCGACCUUCCCCCGAUGGCUAGGGUUUCGGGCGCCGGCUCCGGUGCCGGUGGCCAUGCGGUCCUCCUCUCGCCGACUUUUUAGGAGUCUGAUGGUCAGGUUAUUUACGUGGAGGUAGUAGCUUGCUAAUGGUGGCUUUCACGUCCUGCUCAAAUACUAGAGGAUGUGGACCUGUUGGGGGAAGCACGUACACCUUUGUUUUAGUGGGAAGAGGGAGUAGCAGUGAUCUAAACGCUCUUAUAUUUGUUUACGGUGCGAGUACUUAUCUACUAAUCUAAAAAAAGGUUUCCAAAGGAAGAAAUACUCAAUGCCAUUCGGUGGUUUUCAAUGUGCCAUUCUCUACAUUCACAGCACUAUCGAGAUUGAGGCGAACAUCAUAGACGACUGGAGCUGCGAGUAGAUUUGUCCAAGAUACGACAGUGUUCGUAGUCAUGGUUCUGGUAACUGUCCACAAUCUCCAUAUCUUAACUAUUUGUGAAGAUGGAAAUGCAAGUAAUGUUCUCCUUAGAUGCUCUUGCCUGUUUGAUUCGUACAUUGCUGAACUCGCCGCUGAUCUCUCACCACUUUGAUUCAUAAAUUGCUGAAUUAUCCACAUGAACUCUUGCUGUUACAGUUCAUAAAUUGCUGAAUUUCUCAUUAAUUCGAUUGCACUGUUCCAUAUGAGCAGUGUCUAUUGUGCUUUUAACCCGUCAACUAAGUAAGUACUAUGUUAUUAGUGGCUUGCUUUUAGGCCACAAUCACAACUGUUUAUUUUUCUUCGAGUCUGUUUAUGUUUCUUUUGUGACCUGAAGUAGUAUAUUGAGUUGUAAGGGAAUACUUUCAGGUUACAACUUUUCUUUGUAAUAGUCGUCAUCUAGCCGGACAACCAAUGUUUCGGAAGUAAUGACCGUUUGUAAGAAGUAAUAUUUCUUAUUUGUUGGACAACCCGUCACUAUUUACAUCAUGUCAACAUAUUGUGUAUUAACAGAUCAUUUUGUUAUUUUCAUUGUAGAUUUAAAAGAUAUAUGGACGCUUAUAUGGGUGCCUGGCAGGUAUACUACAAUGAUGAUGAUGUUCUGGUUCACGAUGAUGGCUGUUUUUAGUUUUUGUUAUGAUGGCUGUUUUCAGUUUUAGUUAAUUUGUAGGGAUGCUAUUCCUGUUGGAUGAUGUUCCUUGGUUAAGUUUUAGUGAAGUUGUAGGGAUGUUGGUGGAUGCUUUCACAUUUGGAAGUUAUUCCUCCUGUAAUAUUAACAAUUGUAAUCCCAUAGUUUUUUCAAUAUAUGAUUUCUUCCUCUCGUGCA